UACGUAGGGGGCAAGCGUUGUCCGGAAUCAUUGGGCGUAAAGCGCGUGUAGGCGGCUCGGUAAGUCCGCUCUGAAAGUCCAGGGCUCAACCCUGGGAUGCGGGUGGAUACUGUCGGGCUCGAGUCCGGAAGAGGCGAGUGGAAUUCCUGGUGUAGCGGUGAAAUGCGCAGAUAUCAGGAGGAACACCAAUGGCGAAGGCAGCUCGCUGGGACGUGACUGACGCUGAGACGCGAAAGCGUGGGGAGCGAACAGG
rnacentral:rRNA from 1 species